AGCGAACGCUGGCGGCAGGCCUUACACAUGCAAGUCGAACGAACCCUUCGGGGUUAGUGGCGGACGGGUGAGUAACACGUGGGAACGUGCCUUUAGGUUCGGAAUAACUCAGGGAAACUUGUGCUAAUACCGAAUGUGCCCUUCGGGGGAAAGAUUUAUCGCCUUUAGAGCGGCCCGCGUCUGAUUAGCUAGUUGGUGAGGUAAUGGCUCACCGAGGCUACGAUCAGUAGCUGGUCUGAGAGGAUGACCAGCCACGUUGGGACUGAGACACGGCCCAAACUCCUACGGGAGGCAGCAGUGGGGAAUCUUGCGCAAUGGGCGAAAGCCUGACGCAGCCAUGCCGCGUGGAUGAUGAAGGUCUUAGGAUUGUAAAAUCCUUUCACCGGUGAAGAUAAUGACUGUAGCCGGAGAAGAAGCCCCGGCUAACUUCGUGCCAGCCGCCGCAGUAACAC
rnacentral:rRNA from 1 species